rnacentral:rRNA from 1 species
UUAAGCAUAUCAAUAAGCGGAGGAAAAGAAACCAACAGGGAUUGCCUCAGUAGCGGCGAGUGAAGCGGCAAGAGCUCAGAUUUGAAAUCUCACCUAGUGUGCGAGUUGUAAAUUGCAGGUUGGAGUCUCGGGUUAGACGUGUGUGCAAGUCCCUUGGAACAGGGUGCCACUGAGGGUGAGAGCCCCGUAGCGUGCAUGUCGACACCUGUGAGGCCCUUCUGACGAGUCGAGUUGUUUGGGAAUGCAGCUCUAAGUGGGUGGUAAAUUCCAUCUAAGGCUAAAUAUUGGCGAGAGACCGAUAGCGAACAAGUACUGUGAAGGAAAGAUGAAAAGCACUUUGAAAAGAGAGUGAAACAGCACGUGAAAUUGUUGAAAGGGAAGGGUAUUGGGCUCGACAUGGGAUUUACGCAUCGUUGCCUCUCGUGGGCGGCGCUCUGGGUUUUUCCUGGGCCAGCAUCGGUUUUCGUUGCAGGAUAAGGACAAUUGGAAUGUGGCUCCUCGGAGUGUUAUAGCCUUUUGUAGAUGCUGCGUAUGGGGACCGAGGGCUGCGGCGGACUCGUUUCGUCUCGGAUGCUGGCACAACGGCGCAAUACCGCCCGUCU